CUUGAAAUAAGUCGGCUAAUAAUAUACGUUCCGGGCAGGCGCUUUUUUUGUUUUCCACGUAGUUUCCCUUCGCUCAACGGAGAGUGUGUCGGUUGAGCGUUCGAACGCUGUGUUUUUUGACGUUUGUGUAGUUUUAAAGUGAAUAAUGUGAUUGUGUGGUUCGUUAUGGCCUAUAAAUACCGUGAAGAUUUAGUUGGCAAACGAUUUCUGUCUGUGAGUGGAGUGACAAAAAUAAAUGUGAAUAAAGUUUCCGAGUGGGGAUGGAAAGCUGGUGUUAUCAGGGCAGCAUCACUCAAAGAUAACAAGAAUAAGGAGCUUCAGGUGUUAGUGGAAUAUGACGGAGUAGACUGGCAGAGACGUGAAUGGGUUGCCGUUUAUUCGCGAAGGACGUUUCGUGUUUUUUUAGUGGAGAGAACUUUAGUGUGGGCUCCUAAAAAUGUUAAGGAUGAAACAAUCAAAUGGCCCGCUUUGACGUUUACCCCCCUGGCGGCGGACCUGACGCUGCAGCCGCACGCGCAGCCCGUCGAGUUUCUGCACGAUCGACAGCUCAGGUUCCUCGACUAUGGUAACCUGCAGCCGUUCCAGGAAUGGGACGCAAAGUUGGCUGGUGCUGACGCGGGCACUGAGCCUGAAGUGCUGACCGCGCUCUCGGCUGAGGCAGCGGAAUGGCGGAGCGUGCAGGACGGGCAGCGAAUCCUCACCACCACGCCUUCUGUGCUCGGCGGCUGCAGGGCCCAGGUGUACCGCGCGGCCGGCACCACACAGUGGUACACCGCCGUCAUCGUCGGGGUCAACGAACAUACUGGAGAAUUGACAGUUACUGAUGAUACAGUGCUGGAGGAGCACAGCGAAGAUCCAGCUCUUGUGCAGAUGAGGCUGCUUGGUGAUGGAGUUAUCGAAUCCAUAAUGAGGGGCGAGGUGGUGGGUGUCAUGCCUCGGCGCUCGCGCUCCAAUCUGCAAAUCCAACAAGUCCUGUGCAGUACAAAUCCGACUGGUUUGCCUUCAAAGCGUUCAGUUUCUUACUUGACCCAGCAUUGAAUCCAGUCAAAUUUGAUUCCCGACCACCUGAUCACGAAAUAUCAAAUAACUUCGACAAUGAGGAUGAUGAAAACGGAACAAUAUCAACAAUAGCAUCUCAUUAUGAACACAAUUACCUCGUACCAGACACCGUCGUUCCCGAUGUUUCGCAAGAUACUACCAUCGCCUCGUUCCCGAAACCUAUACCUAUAUUACCU
rnacentral:misc_RNA from 1 species